rnacentral:ncRNA from 1 species
GUGAGCCGCAUGCGGGGAGACCCGCACGUACAGUUUUUUGGGGGAUAUGGUUGAAAGACCGGCCAGCGCCCACCCGAC